rnacentral:lncRNA from 1 species
UACAGCUUUUUUAGUAUGUAGAGUUUUUGUGAGGCAACCUGGUGCCCCAGAAGGAGAACUAAGUUAAUUGGGUGAUCCUAUUUAUCUAACAAGUUGUAGGGGCUCGAAGUUAAUGCAGUGUUUCGGUUGAAGUCUUAACUCUUUGGGAUCCAGACCAGGCCUUUCAUAUUUAUCAUGGACAUGACUCUUGUACAGGUAUUUGAUAGCCUCCUUCAUGGCAUGACAUCCAUCUUGGAAGCAAGAAAAGGCAUUGCUUUCUCACUUCGUUGACAGCAUUGGCCUUGAAUUUAAGAACUAGGUUAACAGCUGCAUGCUCAAAGAAGCCAGAAGAGUUCCAAGCCCGAGAGACCACAUCUGAAAUCUCAUAAUGUGUUAACCAACUUCUGCAAACUAGAGACUUUUGGUUUUGAGCAGGACUGCAAAAGAUAGCUUGGUGAGAACAUGAUCAGAGCAGGGAUUAGGAAGGGCGACCUCAAAGGUAUGAGGACAUAUGUCAUCCCAUUUAGUGGAGAUCUAGAAUCUAUCUAACUUUUCCAUGAUCGGGGACUCUCUAUGCUUACACGAGGUGAAAUCAUGUCCCUUAAGUGGAAGGUCCAGCAUCUGAUUCAAUCUGAUAAAGGAGAGGAAGGCUUUUGAGAUCUUUUUGGCUUGUGGU